AUUGAACGCUGGCGGCAGGCCUAACACAUGCAAGUCGAACGGUAACAGGAAGAAGCUUGCUUCUUUGCUGACGAGUGGCGGACGGGUGAGUAAUGUCUGGGAAACUGCCUGAUGGAGGGGGAUAACUACUGGAAACGGUAGCUAAUACCGCAUAACGUCGCAAGCCUAAAAAGGGGGACCUUCGGGCCUCUUGCCAUCGGAUGUGCCCAGAUGGGAUUAGCUAGUAGGUGGGGUAACGGCUCACCUAGGCGACGAUCCCUAGCUGGUCUGAGAGGAUGACCAGCCACACUGGAACUGAGACACGGUCCAGACGCCUACGGGAGGCAGCAGUGGGGAAUAUUGCACAGUGGGCGCAAGCCUGAUGCAGCCAUGCCGCGUGUAUGAAGAAGGCCUUCGGGUUGUAAAGUACGUUCAGCGGGGAGGAAGGGAGUAAAGUUAAUACCUUUGCUCAUUGACGUUACCCGCAGAAGAAGCACCGGCUAACUCCGUG
rnacentral:rRNA from 1 species